UACGAAGGGGGCUAGCGUUGCUCGGAAUCACUAGGCGUAAAGCGCACGUAGGCGGAUUUUUAAGUCAGGGGUGAAAUCCUGGAGCUCAACUCCAGAACUGCCUCUGAUACUGGGAAUCUUGAGUCCGGGAGAGGUGAGUGGAACUGCGAGUGUAGAGGUGAAAUUCGUAGAUAUUCGCAAGAACACCAGUGGCGAAGGCGGCUCACUGGCCCGGUACUGACGCUGAGGUGCGAAAGCGUGGGGAGCAAACAGG
rnacentral:rRNA from 1 species